AGGCGGUUAGCUCAGCUGGUUAGAGCGUCUGGUCGACAUCCAGAAGGUCGGAGGUUCGAGUCCUCUACCGCCUA
rnacentral:tRNA from 1 species